rnacentral:lncRNA from 1 species
UUAAAUUUCAAAUGAAAAGUAAUUUCACAGUAGGUCUCAUAGCUUAAUAAGAAAAUUAUGCUGGUCUAACUAUUCAACUCAUGUUUUUAAGGUGAAAUCAUUAUUCAAAUAGACUAAAGAAAAGCUAUUACAACCCAACAAAGUCACUAGAUUUAAGCUCCAUCUAGUGACCAGUGACAUUAUUAUAACAACAAAAAACUAAAAACAAGAACAAAAACCACCACAUGUUGAUCCUAAGGUCAUUUCCCAAAUAAACCCAUGACAAGCCCCCGUCAUCGAUUAUUGGAAUACUCGACGCGCCACCAUGAAAGCCAAAUAAAACCUCCAACAUUUGUGUACCCUCCCAAAUCGAAUCACUAGGUUGGCACCAUCAAUAGUCAUCAAAAACACCUCUCAGAGCGAAAAAAGGAACCAUAAAAAUAUAACCAACUAACAUUCAACAACAAAUAUAACAAAACAAAAUAAACAUUAUAAGAAAGAAAAUUAGAGGAAAAAGGAUAGGAAAAAAAAAUAAGAAAAAAUUAAAGAAAAAACAGAAACAAUAUAAUGCCAACAGGAAAGGGAGUGGGAAAAUCCCUCCCUGUCCAGAAGCCUCUAGUUUAGGAACUGUUGCUUGGAAAAAGGGAAGCGAUGGAUAGAUCUAGAUGGCUUGGAAGCAGUAAGCUCGAUAGCGGUGGUGGUUUAUCCUUUAGGAUAGCUAUUUGGUUGGAAACAACAAAUUAGCAGCGAUGGUGCUUUAUGAUUCCGAUUAUCAGUAACUAGAUUAGUUGUAUGUGAUGGUUAGAAAUAAGGGCUAGCAAUAAGGAAUUGGUAUGAAAUGGGCGGCGGUGAGAGAUGAAAGGGUGGUGCCAGCAUACUAGUAUUCGUACACCACUUUGAGAGUUUUCUUCUUUAAUGAAAGUGACAAUAAAUAUGUAUAAAUU